rnacentral:rRNA from 1 species
CCUGGCUCAGGAUGAACGCUAGCGACAGGCCUAACACAUGCAAGUCAGGGGCAGCACAAGGAGCAAUCUGAGGUGGCGACCGGCGCACGGGUGAGUAACACGUAUGCAACCUGCCUGUAAGCGGGGAAUAACCCGUUGAAAGACGGACUAAUACCGCAUAAUACUAAAUUACUGCAUGGUAAUUUAUUUAAACAUUUAUGGCUUACAGAUGGGCGUGCGCAUGAUUAGCUAGUUGGAGAGGUAACGGCUCCCCAAGGCAACGAUCAUUAGGGGUUCUGAGAGGAAGGUCCCCCACACUGGUACUGAGACACGGACCAGACUCCUACGGGAGGCAGCAGUGAGGAAUAUUGGUCAAUGGACGAGAGUCUGAACCAGCCAAGUCGCGUGCAGGAAGAAUGUUCCCUAUGGAUUGUAAACUGCUUUUGCAGGGGAAUAAAGUGCAUCACGUGUGAUGUUUUGUAUGUACUCUGCGAAUAAGGAUCGGCUAACUCCGUGCCAGCCGCCGC